rnacentral:rRNA from 1 species
GGGAGGGAAGACGGAUGGAGGAGUCAAGGCUGUCGCCGGCAACGUGCACGCCCCUUUCUCUUUCGUGGAACCUCCCCUUUCUAGUUUCCUUAUCCACCUGUGCACCCUUUGUAGGCCCUCGAAAGAGGAUCUACGUUUUCUCUAUAUACGCUUUUUGCUACGCAUGUCCAGAAUGUAUACAAACUUUACAACUUUCAGCAACGGAUCUCUUGGCUCUCGCAUCGAUGAAGAACGCAGCGAAUUGCGAUAAGUAAUGUGAAUUGCAGAUUUUCAGUGAAUCAUCGAAUCUUUGAACGCACCUUGCGCUCCUUGGUAUUCCGAGGAGCAUGCCUGUUUGAGUGUCAUCGAAUUCUCAACCAUGUCUUGAAUUAGGCAUGGCUUGGACUUGGGGGUUGCUGGCACACGUUGUCAAGCUCUCCUGAAAUGCAUUAGCGAUGUUCAGCAAGCCUGAACGUGCACGGCCUUUUCGACGUGAUAACGAUCGUCGUGGGCUGGAGCGUAGGGUGAGCAGUGAAUCGCUUCUAAUCUAUACCUCAGUUACUAGUCGGUCGUGAGACUGACGAACGCGCGAGGCUUGAUCUUGGACCCCAAGCCUUAGUUACUAGUCGGUCGUGAGGCCGACGAACGCGCAGGGUUAGGACCAUUUGAACUCUUGACCUCAAAUCAGGUAGGACUACCCGCUGAACUUAAGCAUAUCAAUAAGCGGAGGAAAAGAAACUAACAAGGAUUCCCCUAGUAACUGCGAGUGAAGCGGGAAAAGCUCAAAUUUUGAAUCUGGCAGUCUUUGCAGGCCGUCCGAGUUGUAAUCUAGAGAAGCGUCUUCCGCGCCGGCCUGUGUACAAGUCUCCUGGAAGGGAGCGUCAUAGAGGGUGAGAAUCCCGUCUCUGACACGGACCACCGGUGGAUGCGCUCUCGACGAGUCGAGUUGUUUGGGAAUGCAGCUCAAAAAGGGUGGUAAACUCCAUCUAAAGCUAAAUAUUGGCGAGAGACCGAUAGCGAACAAGUACCGUGAGGUAAAGAUGAAAAGGGAAACGCUUGAAGA